rnacentral:rRNA from 1 species
UAGGGAAUCUUCCGCAAUGGACGAAAGUCUGACGGAGCAACGCCGCGUGAGUGAAGAAGGAUUUCGGUUCGUAAAACUCUGUUGUUAGGGAAGAAAAAAUGUAUAGUAACUAUAUACAAAAGAGACGGUACCUAACCAGAAAGCCACGGCUAACUACGUGCCAGCAGCCGCGGUAAUACGUAGGUGGCAAGCGUUGUCCGGAAUUAUUGGGCGUAAAGCGCGCGCAGGUGGUUUAGAAAGUCUGAUGUGAAAGCCCACGGCUCAACCGUGGAGGGUCAUUGGAAACUAAUAAACUUGAGUGCAGGAGGGGAAAGUGGAAUUCCUAGUGUAGCGGUGAAAUGCGUAGAGAAUAGGAGGAACACCGGUGGCGAAAGCGGCUUUUUGGCCUGCAGCUGACACUGAGGCGCGAAAGGGUGGGGAGCAAACAGG